ACCAAAGUUCAGUCAUCCUCCUCUGAUGACUCGCCUCAUGUGCCUGAAACAGGCAAGAAUACAUGUUGUCCAAACUAACCUAAACCACAGCUGAACUAAACAUCAGGAGCCACCAUUCCAAAUUAAUAAUCUAGAAAUCUAAGAACUUUGAUCCAGUUCGAACAAUUCUUAGUCAUCAUUUUACACCAAUUAGACUGGAUCAGUAAACGCGAUUCCUUCGUACAACUCGAAAAAUGAAAUCAAAUUCUUGUUCCAGACCACUUGGUAUGUCAGAUUAAAUUCGCCAGUUUUAUUUUGAAGACUAUUAAAUCAGGUGCAGUCAGGGAAAAGGAUUAUUAUCUCCCAAUCUUGUUCUAUUAAAGUAGCAAAAUAACGCUUUAAUUUUUUUGUUCGCAAAAUAAUCCCGUUCACUGUUGUCCGACGCAGCCCCGCCUUACUCAUCGAUCAACGCAAACUUCUCUAACUGUUCAAUUAUUUACCCAAUAAUUGAGUAGCAGAGAAGUUGACGAGGCAGAAACAAAAUGGCCUGUCCCGCUUAGGCGAUUUUAGGCGACUGCCAGUGACUGUCAUAAUCGUAGCAGGUCGAGACUGGACCUCCCCUACGACAAUGUCUAUGACAAGCUACAACAACCUUCCACCUAGUUGACGUCAAGCUGCAGCAAGCUACCAACAACUGGCGACCAUAACCUUCGCGACUAGGAUGUUCACCUACGACCACACCUACGACAACCUUCAACGACAUCUACGACAACAUACGACAACACUGACAACAACGUACGACAACCGAAGUCAACCUACGUCCUCCCGCAACAAGCUACGACAAGCUAAGGCACUGUCAGCGACAACUGAAGCCUCUAAAACAAUGGAAUCACAGUUUUCCGAUAAUUUUCAAUGCAGUACAAUGCUUGUGUUUGUUUUAUUGAUCAAAAAAUAUGAGAUUUAAAUAUUUGUAAGUAAUGCCACGAGACACUAAUCUGAAAUAUAAUAUCUUCAUACAUCAAUUUGUCGUCAAAAUGUCAAUCAUUUCCUUUAUUGAUAUUGAAAUAAACAAAAGUUUUAACAACAAAAAAA